GAUGAAGAACGUAGCGAAAUGCGAUAAGUAGUGUGAAUUGCAGAAUUCAGUGAAUCAUCGAAUCUUUGAACGCACAUUGCGCCCUUUGGUAUUCCUUAGGGCAUGCCUGUUCGAGCGUCAUUACAACCCUCAAGCUCUGCUUGGUAUUGGGCUCUGCUGGGACCGGCAGGCCUUAAAAUCAGUGGCGGCGCCACUCGGCUUCAAGCGUAGUAAUUCUUCUCGCUUCGGAGACCCGGGUGCGUGCUAGCCAGCAACCCCCAACUUUCUUAGGUUGACCUCGGAUCAGGUAGGGAUACCCGCUGAACUUAAGCAUAUCAAUAAGCGGAGGA
rnacentral:misc_RNA from 1 species